GGAUGAUUUAGUUUUUGCUUAUUUAAUAAGAAAGUUUAAAUGAAAGAUAUCAAAUGAGUAUGCCAAGAUUUUUUAUUGAUUUUCCUCAUUCGAGCUACAUCAACACAGAAACUCCUUGAGGAAGUCUCACCUUAGUGAGGAACCCAGGCAGUAUGGAAAAGUAAAAAAUGUUUCUCUAGAUCCACAUCCUACUGCCUGAAUGUUACUUUAUAUGGCAAAAGGGACUUUAUAGGUGUGCUUAAGGACUUGGAGAUAGGGAGAUUGACCUGAAUUAUCCAACUGGGCCCCAUAACAAUAUAACAUAGGCAUCCAUCAGAGAUCUACGGAGAAAGCCAGGAAGAUGGAAAGGUGGGUAAUCGUUUAGGAGAACAUCGAGGUCUGGAGUUGUGCUGUUGGUUUUAGACAUUCUGGGAAGGUCUGUGAGCCUGUUGGAAAGAACAGAGGAAAGGAUUCUCUUUUAGAAUUCUAGAAUGUAGGUAGCCACAACUCCGUAUUUCCUCCCUGCCAUACCAAAAUCUACGCUAAAGGAAGAUCCUGAUGGAUUGUUUACAAAAUGUUCCAACUAUCACUGCUUUUGUAGAAAGACUCACAGGAAGUUCUCCAUCGGGAGGAAUAUUUAGUGAAGUGGUUUGUAAAAAUUAUCAAAAGUAGCCACACUUGGAAAUAUCCUGAGGUUCAGCAAGAGAACAAUCUUGUUUUAAUUCCUCCUGGAAUUUUCCUUUUUAUGCCACGUUCUCUAUGGGAAAAUGAGGGAAGAAACCUCUUGGCUGCAUAUGGGAAAAGCAUUUUUACGUGAAGUCUUGGUUGAAGGUAAAGUAAAUGAUUACUCAAGUCCUCAAGGUAAUUGUACUACAUGGAAAUCAAUAUAAAUACUGUAUUACAGCAUUUGUUUCACUUACAAGUCCGCAUGCCUGUGGUCAGAAGUAACUGUCAUCUUGGAAUAGCCUAGGCUGAAGUCUGCGUUUGAAC
rnacentral:lncRNA from 1 species